CCAACUACCAGUGGGGAAGGAUCUCUUCUGGAGAUCCGUUCCACUGGAGUUUCCCGUGAGGGCCCAGGAUGGGAAGAUGCAUGAUGAAAAUAUUUUCAAGGAGAGAAAAUCUUCCCUUUCUGAAAGUUUAUAUCUGACUGAAAUUGCAACAGUUAAGAAACGACAAACAACUUCCUCAGUUUGCUGCACAACCAUCAGUGUAACAUGGGGCUCUUCAGGAACCAGGCAAUGCUUGUGGAAGUUCAGAAAAAGCUGCUAAAAUGAGGGACCUGUGGAAUUUCCAUCUGGAGACAGUCAUUUAUCAACAGGUUAAGAACAAGGGAGCAAACAUGCUAAAAAAAAAAAAAAAAAAAAAAGCUGGUCACAGUAGAUAAAACAUACAUAAAAAGGAAGCAAAGGCUCAGAGAUGUAUAUUAGAUGAUAGUCAUGAUUAAUUCUAUGUCUGCAAAUGUACAUUUCUGUUCAUACAAAACCAAAUUUCUGUUUAAGUGAGUGAUUAGCCCAAAAAAGUCUGAUUAGUAUCCACACAUCAUUAAAGAAACACAUUCUGGAUUUGUUUCAGAAAUGAUCAAAUGUCUGAGCAUAGUGAACCAUCAAAGUAUCCCAGUAGCACUCCUCACUUGUGCAGAAAUAUAUCUUCCUAUUUGCAUAGAAGUGCUGCUGAAACAUCUUCAAAACAAAUUCUGAAAAGGAGACAACAAAAGUAUUCAUGAGAAUGAAAAUUUAGUAAGAAGAAAUAUCAGAUAGGUGACACAAAACUGAGUGUCUAUCAGUUCUAUAUUUUUAUGCUGGUGAUGGUCACUUUUCAAGGUACAAAGAAAGCUGAUUCUGUGCCCUAGAAAUAUAAAAGAGAAAACUGUAGCUGAAUCUCAUUUGAAAUAUCAUUUACACAAAAGGAUUGAUACCAGGAGAGAGCAGAUAAUGAAAGCAUUAAUAAACACAAAAAAUCCCACCCUAUAUCAGCAUAGUUGCAAUUCCAACUGUUAGGAGUUAAUUGAUAAUCAAGGACUUUUUGCAUCUCAUCUUACUUUUUUCCUCCUAUUUUGACUAAAACUUUUAUCUUAGAAUCAGAGAUUCUUUUUCUCUAAGUCAGUUUUUAUAACCGAUAGUGAAUUACAUGACUUAUGUGCACUGAUAUGGGAAUGAGAGAUUCACUUUGAGAAGGUAAAUUGUAAUAUUCUUGUCCUGUAUAACCUUGAUUUUUGUGUAACACCUCUAAAAAUGCCCUUCCUUUUCUAUUGCUUCUGGUCUUACUAAAAAGCGUUUUUUAAAGAGAGUAUUAGACGUUAGGAACUUGGUUUAAAAUAUAUUUUUAAGAUGAACUCACAUUUGGACUAAGUAUACUGGCCAAGUGUAAUUUUUCAAAGAAAAUGAGCAUGGGGAGAACAAGUUCUGAGAGGCUAAAGAGGUUGUUCUAGAGGGAAUGUGUAAGUUAGAGAAUGAUAUAAAGUGUGAUUUGAAUCUUUGCUCUAUCCUUUCAGCAUUGUAGAGGGACAAAUAAUUGACAAUUUCAUGGAUGGCUUCUAUUCUUUGUAGUUUAAGCAAAAACUAAACAUGAGAUUAAAUUGCUAAUUAAAUACAACUAUUGUGGCUUGUGGCUGCAGUCAGUAAAAUACUUAUUUCUUGGCAUGUGUGGAUGUAUUCUGAGGUUAUUUUGGAGUAAGACGUUAUUCAUACAUUUUUGCUCACAGGGUGUCUUUUUUUUGUAAGGAUAAAAGUCAGAGGUGGUAGCUAAUGAGAAGGAGUUUGUAUGAAGGGAAGGUUAUUUCUCUGUAAGCACAAUUUUAGUUUUCUUCAUGCUGUAUUUAUAUUUCAUAGUAUUUGUUACAUUUCAAGAGAGAUCUGACAAAUAUUUUAAUCCAACAUAUCAGUAUCUCACCACUUUAUGCAUAAGCAAGGUUCUCAAACCCAGAUAUUU